GCGGGCGUGGUGGAAUGGCAGACACGCGGUCUUUAGGUGUCCGUGCUCGAAAGAGCGUGGGGGUUCGAGUCCCCCCGCCCGCA
rnacentral:tRNA from 1 species